AUGGCGACCACACUGGUCAUGCAGCUCAUGUUGCUGUUACUACUGCCAGUGACUCGAGUCUCAGCUCAGGAGCAGCAGCAGGUUGUGCGGCCUGGCUGCCGUGACAAGUGCGGCAACAUCACCAUCCCCUACCCCUUUGGCAUCGGCGCCGGCUGCUUCCGCAACGACGGUCGAGGUGGCUUCGAGCUCGAGUGCAAUGACUCACGCUCAACACCGCGGCUCACCGUGGCUGGCAAUGGGAUCCGCAUAACCAGCCUGUCCAUCAUCGCCGGCGAGGCCAGGGCCCUCCUCAGAGCAACACGCCGAUGCUAUGACAGCAAGGGGCGCAUCACCGGCAGGAGCGGCGACACGUCCGUACCACUCAUUGGCAGCCACUACCUCUUCUCCCAGACCAGGAACCGCCUUGUUGCGCUUGGUUGCUCCAACCUCGGCUACUUCGUCGACAUCGCCGGCUACUACGUCAGUGGGUGCAUGGCCGUGUGCGGGCCGCAACAGUUCAUUGAGUUGGGGUCCUGCACAGGCGUGGCCUGCUACCAGAGCACGAUACCCCCCGCUAUCGACUACUACGAGCCAUACGUGCUCGACUUCACAAAGGAGCAGACAAACAAAGGCAUAGUCUCCUAUAGCAACAGCACGACCUGCCGGUAUGUGUUCCUGGCGGAGACCAAGUGGUUAACUACAACACUGACUGGUAACAGUGAGUACCUCAACCGGACCAACAACUUCGCUGUGCCCGUCAUCCUCGACUGGGCAGUCAGAAACGUCGGCAACUGCAGCGCCGCCAAGCGCAACACAACUGACUACGCGUGCCAGAGCGCGCUCAGCGAUUGUGUCGACUCCAAGAAUGGCAUUGGGUACCACUGCAACUGCUCCAAGGGCUACGAGGGCAACCCCUAUCUACAAGAUGGAUGCAGAGACAUCAACGAGUGCAAACACAAAGAAGAGCAAUCAUGCUAUGGUGUCUGUGCAAAUACUCUGGGAAGCCACACUUGCCAAUGCCCGCCAGGGACUAGGGGAGAUGCCACAACAAAGACUGGUUGCCGGCCGAAGGACAAUUUCACGUUAGCACUGAAACUAGUUACAGGAGUCAGCGUUGGAGUGUUCUUGCCUUUGUUCAUGUGCUUCUGGCUCUACUUGGGGCUCCAGAAGAGGAAGCUUAUCAGAACAAAGCAAAUGUUCUUCGAGCUAAAUGGAGGCCUCUUCCUGCAGCAGCAGAUAAGUAACUACAAUGGCACCAGCACAGGCACUGGUGGGUUCAAGAUCUUCUCCAAGGAAGAGCUGGAGAAAGCGACCAAAAACUUUGCAGCCGACCGUAUUCUCGGCCGCGGUGGGCACGGCAUCGUCUACAAGGGUGACCUUGAGGACAAGACAGUGGUGGCGAUCAAGAAGUCAAAGAUGACGGAAGAAGUCCCGACCAAGGAAUUCGCAAGGGAGAUGUUCAUCCUCUCCCAGAUCAACCACAAGAAUGUCGUCAAGCUGCUCGGAUGUUGCCUCGAAGUAGAAGUGCCCAUGUUGGUCUAUGAGUUCGUCUCGAACGGUACACUCUACCAGUACAUCCAUGGUAGUAGGGGCCUUGACUCUGAUACAGGAUUCCACACCUGCCUUCGGAUAGCAGUAGAGUCAGCCGAGGCAUUGGCAUAUAUGCACUCUUCAGCCUCGCCGCCGAUUCUCCAUGGAGACGUCAAGACGGCAAACAUUCUGUUGGAUGACAAGCUUACAGCAAAAGUUUCAGAUUUCGGAGCAUCAAAACUAGCACCAACUGAUGAAGCCAAGAUGGCAACAUUGGUGCAGGGCACUUGCGGUUACCUUGACCCAGAAUACCUAAUGACAUGCCGGCUGACUGAUAAGAGUGAUGUGUACAGCUUUGGUGUUGUCCUAUUGGAGCUUCUGACAAGGAAGAAGGCAUUGUACUUCGACGGACCGGAGGAAGAUAGAAGCCUUGUUUUAUGCUUCAUGAUGGCAGUGAAGGUAGGCCAGCACCAAGACCUUCUGGACAGCCAAGUGAGGGACGAGGUGAGAAUCGAAGCGCUUGAAGAGAUCACACACCUAGUUAUGAGAUGCUUGAACAUGAGUGGGGAAGAGCGGCCAACGAUGAAGGAGGUUGCAGAGAGGUUGGAGAUGCUGAGGAGAUACCACCACCACCCGUGGGCUCAAGCAGAUGGUAAUCCAGAGGAGGAACAGAGCUUGCUUGCUACGGAACAACAGAAUGUGAAUUACAAAUUCACACAGGAUUAUGUCCUUGAUUUUGAAGCAAGCAGCACAUACAGCUUUAGCUCGUAG
rnacentral:rRNA from 1 species